rnacentral:rRNA from 1 species
CCUACGGGAGAGAGCAGUGAGGAAUAUUGGUCAAUGGACGAGAGUCUGAACCAGCCAAGUAGCGUGAAGGAUGACUGCCCUAUGGGUUGUAAACUUCUUUUAUAUGGGAAUAAAAUGUUCCACGUGUGGGAUUUUGUAUGUACCAUAUGAAUAAGGAUCGGCGAACUCCGUGCCAGCAGCCGCGGUAAUACGGAGGAUCCGAGCGUUAUCCGGAUUUAUUGGGUUUAAAGGGAGCGUAGGUGGAUUGUUAAGUCAGUUGUGAAAGUUUGCGGCUCAACCGUAAAAUUGCAGUUGAAACUGGCAGUCUUGAGUACAGUAGAGGUGGGCGGAAUUCGUGGUGUAGCGGUGAAAUGCUUAGAUAUCACGAAGAACUCCGAUUGCGAAGGCAGUUCACUGGACUGCAACUGACACUGAGGCUCGAAAGUGUGGGUAUCAAACAGGAUUAGAUACCCCUGUAGUC